CCUACGGGAGGCAGCAGUGGGGAAUAUUGGACAAUGGGCGCAAGCCUGAUCCAGCAAUGCCGCGUGUGUGAAGAAGGCCUGCGGGUUGUAAAGCACUUUCAGUAGAGAAGAAAAGCUUAGGGUUAAUACCCCAGAGUCUUGACGUAACCUACAGAAGAAGCACCGG
rnacentral:rRNA from 1 species